AAAAACAACAGAUAUGCCCCCAAAAUCCCACCGCAUUGGAAACAUUGAACCACAUGAAAAAUAAUAGCUAGCGUUUUCAAGCAUAGAUAAACCAUAAACCACAUUGCAUUGAUUCAGACACAUUCACCCAGGCCAAUCCAAGAAGGCCACGAUUUAUAGUGGUCAAAAGCCAAGCCACCCUAGCACACAUUACUACCUAAUUACAGUCAGAAGCAUCCAUAUAUGCUGCUCUUACAUGCUCCAUGGGAGCAGCACCUGCCAUUCAAAGCGUCUGCUCCAGAGUCCAUGGUUUACUUAUAUAUAUAUAUAUAUAUAUAUAUAUAUAUAUAUAUAUAUAUAUAUAUAUAUAUAUACACAAACUAGAGCCACGGUGCCAUUGCAACUCCAUAGUCCAUACUAGCAAUAUAGAGUACUAGCCUUAUACUAAUUCUGCAGGUUAGGCCGGUUCCCCUGCUUUCGCCUUGCAUCAGCCCCCUCUCUGUCACAACGAGAGAACAAUGGUUAGCUAGCAUUUCCAACAAGGGCAAUCUUCAACUCCUG
rnacentral:lncRNA from 1 species